rfam:Gossypium hirsutum cultivar TM-1 chromosome 16, whole genome shotgun sequence
CCUGAGGAAACGCUUUGUCUACAUCAACAGAAAACGUUUCCCUGAGGAUGUGAUUUGUGCUGAUGUGGACAAAGCGCUUCCUCAGGG